CCUAGACAGGGAUUGGGAGACAUGCAAGUUGCUUGGCUUCCUAUUACCUUGUGUUGAAAACACAAUAGGCUUUGGGAUCAGGAGUUCAUUCCAGUUAUUUUAAUGUUAUUUACUAGCAGUGUGCCCUCGUGCACAUUAUCAAACUCCUCUGACUCUUGGAAUCCUCAUUUUUCAAUAAUAACUCACAAAGCUGUCAAGCCUAAGGGUUCUAACAGCUCGAACAGCACCUGGAACAGAAGCAAUAGCCGCCACUCAGAGGUUACUUCUUCCUUCUCCGCCUUCUCUGGAUCACCUCCCUACCUCAUCCUCAAUCUAACGCUGGAAAUAUUGGAUAUGGGGUUCUUCAAUCUCAAAUAAAUCAUCUGUAGAGUCCCCUCCAGUUCCGAAAUUCUCUCUAUGUCUUGGAGUGUGUGGAAUAGCCAGGAAACCAGCCCAGGAGCUUUGACUCCCAGCCAUUCUGCACCUUAAGCAAAAAGGAAGUUAGCCACACAUGGUGGCUCAUGACUGUAGUCUCAGCUACAUGGGAGGCAAGGCGAGAGGAUCUCUUGAGCCCAGGAGUUCGAGGCCAGCCUAGGCAAUGUAGUAAGACCCUGUUCUUAAAUUUUUUUAAAAAGCAA
rnacentral:lncRNA from 1 species